rnacentral:rRNA from 1 species
AUCUUCCGCAAUGGACGAAAGUCUGACGGAGCAACGCCGCGUGAACGAAGAAGNCUUCGGGUCGUAAAGUUCUGUUGUUAGGGAAGAACAAGUACCAGAGUAACUGCUGGUACCUUGACGGUACCUAACCAGAAAGCCACGGCUAACUACGUGCCAGCAGCCGCGGUAAUACGUAGGUGGCAAGCGUUGUCCGGAAUUAUUGGGCGUAAAGCGCGCGCAGGUGGUUCCUUAAGUCUGAUGUGAAAGCCCACGGCUCAACCGUGGAGGGUCAUUGGAAACUGGGGAACUUGAGUGCAGAAGAGGAAAGUGGAAUUCCAAGUGUAGCGGUGAAAUGCGUAGAGAUUUGGAGGAACACCAGUGGCGAAGGCGACUUUCUGGUCUGUAACUGACACUGAGGCGCGAAAGCGUGGGGAGCAAACAGGAUUAGAUACCCUGGUAGUCCACGCCGUAAACGAUGAGUGCUAAGUGUUAGAGGGUUUCCGCCCUUUAGUGCUGCAGCUAACGCAUUAAGCACUCCGC